rnacentral:rRNA from 1 species
UACGUAGGGUGCAAGCGUUAAUCGGAAUUACUGGGCGUAAAGCGUGCGCAGGCGGCUUUGCAAGACAGAUGUGAAAUCCCCGGGCUUAACCUGGGAACUGCAUUUGUGACUGCAAGGCUGGAGUGCGGCAGAGGAGACUGGAAUUCCUGGUGUAGCAGUGAAAUGCGUAGAUAUCAGGAGGAACACCGAUGGCGAAGGCAGGUCUCUGGGCUGACACUGACGCUCAUGCACGAAAGCGUGGGGAGCAAACAGG